AUUGAACGCUGGCGGCAUGCUUUACACAUGCAAGUCGAACGGCAGCGCGGGCUUCGGCCUGGCGGCGAGUGGCGAACGGGGGAGUAAUGCAUCGGAACGUGCCCAGUAGGGGGGGAUAGCCCGGCGAAAGCCGGAUUAAUACCGCAUACGACCUGAGGGUGAAAGCGGGGGACCGAAAGGCCUCGCGCGAUUUGAGCGGCCGAGGUCGGAUUAGCUAGUUGGUGGGGUAAGGGCUUACCAAGGCGGCGAUCCGUAGCUGGUCUGAGAGGACGACCAGCCACACUGGGACUGAGACACGGCCCAGACUCCUACGGGAGGCAGCAGUGGGGAAUUUUGGACAAUGGGGGCAACCCUGAUCCAGCCAUGCCGCGUGCGGGAAGAAGGCCUUCGGGUUGUAAACCGCUUUUGUUCGGGAAGAAAUCCUCUGGGCUAAUACCCCGGGGGGAUGACGGUACCGGAAGAAUAAGCACCGGCUAACUACGUG
rnacentral:rRNA from 1 species